rnacentral:rRNA from 1 species
UACAGAGGUCCCAAGCGUUGUUCGGAUUCAUUGGGCGUAAAGGGUGUGUAGGUGGCGCCGUAAGUCGGGUGUGAAAUCUCGGGGCUUAACUCCGAAACUGCAUUCGAUACUGCGGUGCUUGAGGACUGGAGAGGAGACUGGAAUUCACGGUGUAGCAGUGAAAUGCGUAGAUAUCGUGAGGAAGACCAGUGGCGAAGGCGGAUCUCUGGACAGUUCCUGACGCUGAGGCGCGAAGGCCAGGGGAGCAAACGGG